CCUACGGGUGGCAGCAGUGGGGAAUAUUGCGCAAUGGGCGAAAGCCUGACGCAGCGACGCCGCGUGAGGGAUGAAGGUCUUCGGAUCGUAAACCUCUGUCAGUAGGGAAGAACGGUCACUGUGCUAAUCAGCAGUGAAUUGACGGUACCUGCAAAGGAAGCAUCGGAUAACUCCGUCCCAGCAGCUGCGGUAAUAAGGAGGGUGCGUGCGUUAAUCGGAUUUAUUGGGCGUAAAGGGCGCGUAGGCGGUAUGUCAAGUCAAGGGUGAAAUCCCCGCGCUCAACGGGGGAACUGCCUUUGAAACUGGCAGACUGGAGUGUGGGAGAGGAUAGUGGAAUUCCAGGUGUAGGAGUGAAAUCCGUAGAUAUCUGGAGGAACAUCGAUGGCGAAGGCGACUAACUGGCACAUAACUGACGCUGAGGAGCGAAAGCGUGGGUAGCAAACAGGAUUAGAUACCCGUGUAGUC
rnacentral:rRNA from 1 species